AAGCCAGCAGGCCUGGAUGGACUCUAUUCUGCCACCCAUUGACUGUAUAAUGGAAGGCAAUUUGCUUCAUGAAACUCUACCUCCUUUUCAGGAACAAAAUUAGCUCCUAACCAUAAAGCAAUUCAAACAGCACCUAGCAUACAGGAAAGAUUAAGUGCAAUUCUAGGUGACUACGACAGACAGAGAUUCAACCCUCUCCAGUUUAGAAGCUCUGCUUGGCAUGUGGGAUUUUUCUCACAGGAAGCGCAGUUUUUGUUUGAGGAUCUCAUCAUGAGCCUGACAUUUCCCCACUCACAUUCUAACUACGUACUGCUUUUCUAGACAAUGUCAGUCUUCUCUUCAGAGGGAAAGAACAGCUGGGUUUCUGAAUGUCUGAAUCACAAAUCCUCUUCUGUCACUGCGGCUUUGGGACCUGGGGACCAGCUUAGGGAGAACUUUGUUUUCCCCAGUUCACACAGAGCUAUGCCUGGAGAUGUCCACAUCAAAAUGGUCCCUUUCCUGUUGGUGAAACAGUGAAGGCCUCAGAUCCUUAUCGGUGUUCUUUCCUAAAUAAAGAGAGUAGCAGGAAACCAUUUUGCUUCUUUGAUGCUGUGAAGUGAGCAACUUUGCUCCAUUACCACCUCCCAAGUGUGAUGUUCUGCCUUAUUAUAAGAGGCCUGAAUGCAGUGGGGCUGAGUGAUCACAGAUAGAUCUCUGAAACUUUGAGCCAAAUAAACCCAUUCUUUUAAAUUA